rnacentral:rRNA from 13 species
CCAAGGGUGCCGCAGGGUAGCUAUGUACGGACGGGAUAACCGCUGAAAGCAUCUAAGCGGGAAACCCACCUCAAAACCAGUUCUCCCUGAAGAGCCGUGGAAGACCACCACGUCGAUAGGAAGCGUGUGGAAGUGCAGCAAUGCAUGAAGCUUAGCUUUACUAAUAGCUCGUUCGGCUUGAU